GAAAAUUCAGAUCUGAGAAUAUUUUGGAAGCAUGAGAAAAUACUGAAAAGUUCCUUCAAUUUCAAGCAACAAAAACUCCAAAACUUACUGUUCCGUUGAAUUUUCUAGGGUGUAUUUGAGUUUUCUGAGUUCUAAAACCAAAUCAUUAUCUCACCUAAGGUCAAACGGCUUGAAGUUUCCUUGUAUUUGGUAGUUGAAGUUCCAUAGGUUACUGGGUUAUUUCGAGCUUUAUUCGGUUCAUUUGAGUUUAGUUUUGGUUGUUUACUGGUUCUGCUCAUCUAAAAUUGAUUCCUGGGCUGUUUGGCAUCAUCUUCUGGGUUCGAAAUUGAUUUUUAGUUGCUGUUGAUUGCUAUUUGCUGCUAUUGGUUUCCAUUUGCUGCACUUCUGACUUGGAUUUACCUUUUGUGACCAUAUCCAGGUACAUAUAUUUGAAUCCUACAAUGUGAAAUCAAGUUGGAGAUGAAAUGAAGCGACUUAUCUAUCUUAUUAGCCUCAUAUGAGUAUUAAC
rnacentral:lncRNA from 1 species